rnacentral:rRNA from 1 species
UACGAAGGGGGCUAGCGUUGUUCGGAAUCACUGGGCGUAAAGGGUGCGUAGGCGGGUCUUUAAGUCAGGGGUGAAAUCCUGGAGCUCAACUCCAGAACUGCCUUUGAUACUGAGGAUCUUGAGUUCGGGAGAGGUGAGUGGAACUGCGAGUGUAGAGGUGAAAUUCGUAGAUAUUCGCAAGAACGCCAGUGGCGAAGGCGGCUCACUGGCCCGAUACUGACGCUGAGGCACGAAAGCGUGGGGAGCAAACAGG